rnacentral:lncRNA from 10 species
GCUGAUUUCUAAGCAUCACUCCUUGUGAGGACCAAGAAGGAAUAUUUUUGCUACUCUCACCCUGACUAAAGUGGUUCUCAAGUAAGUCUGGGGUCCAAAGCAUUGAGGAGACCCCGGGGAGAGUUGUCAGAGGGUCUCAGAGGAACCUAGCUCAGGAGGAGAGGCCGAGGCAAUCAAGAUGGUUUAUCUCUACAAAGAGAAGGCUGAGGGGAUACCUAGUGUCUUCCUUUAAAUAUCUGAAAUUGUUCUUGAGAGCGGCUGGUGAAGAUUCCACUUAAAACCUCGGGAUCAAGGACUUCUCUCAAGCAUGAGGAAGUGCUCCCUUCUCCAGAGGGAUGCAAAUGCUGGCGUGGAGUCUGCAGGGGGCCUGGCUGCUUCUGGGACAUGGAAUGGGACUGAGGGAGACAUAGAGCUCCCUAAUGCUGAAUCUCUUCCCUGUGCUGAAGAAAACUCCAGACCUCCCAGCCACUGGAACUAAAAUUGGCAUCCAGAGGUCCGGCCUUCAGAUGAAACGAUCUUCAAGCAAGCAGACACAGCUUGCGCUCCCUCAGGACUGACCAGAGGCUGUGCUUUGGGGAACUCGGACCACUGCGAAAAAUCUGAGAAGUGAUGAUCGUUCCAGGACUGAUCUGACCACCCGGGGCGUCCAGCAUGAUUGGUCGGGGUCCUGCCCGCACCCUCUCACCCCUCCACGCAGAGGCACGGUGGGAGAGGCCCCUGCCCACCCCGGAUGAGCCUGAGACUCCAGCCUGAAAUGAAGUUGCUGAAAUGAGCCCUUUCCCCAGCCGUUCAGCAGCCUAGCUGUUUUACCACUGAAAUAAAGUGUCCAAUUUAUCCUGCCAUUUUGAGGAAGCUGUUUUCAGCUGAGACUCCAGCUGGAUUUAUUUUUAAAAAAGAUUAUUCUGCAGACCAUGGCCAGAACGUGCUGAGAGGCACCCUGGGCAGUUUUCCCUCUGGCCGGCUCUUAUCCGUCCUCCCCAGCAUGGGGAGAUGAGGCUGCCUCAGGCGGCCCAGGCCAGGCAGCUGCCAGGGAGGCUGAGCAGGUCUGGGAUGUGCCAGGCAGCUCUAUGCCCAGCUCAGCUGGGAACCUGACCCGGAAAGGGCUGGAACCCAAGCCUCACCCUCUCCUGCUCUAUUCACUGUGGUCAAGGGAGGAAAGAGACCUGGCGGCUGGGCUUGCAGACAGGCUUCUUGCCCCCAUUCCUCUUCUCAGUUCUCGUGUAUGCCUGGUGGGGUGUUGACAGGCCCCACUGUGGCUGUGCUGUUUGGCAGACUGCCCUGAGUCUCCCCAGUGCCCAUCUCCCUGUAGUCCACGCUGCCCUGGCCUUCCUUGGCCUCCUGAUGGCCCCUGAGUUUACUGGAGUCAAAGGGCCAACCUGCGGACUCAGCACCCUUUCUGCUCCAGGUCUGAGGUUUCUGCUGUGAGUGGUGGCACGCGUCACACCAGUUCUUAAAUAUCUUGAAUAUGACCCUGCUGGGAGCUGCCCUUGUUCUAAGACUGGGGAUGGGGGCAGAGGAGGCAGGAAGGGGAUGGAGCUGCUUGUGGUGGAGAAUGGAGUCCCCGACCUUCUCUCGAGGCCAGCAUCAGCAGACUUCUCCUGGAAAGGGUCAGAGAGCAAAUAUUUCAGACUUUGUGGGCCAUAUGGUAUCUCUCACAACUACUAAAUGCAGGCAUUGUAGCAAACCUUCCAUAGACAGUCGCUAAAAGCGUGGGCUUGGCUCUGUUCAUUGUGGCCUUGUGUUCCCAUAACACUUUCUUUACAGACGCGGGUGGUAGGCUGGAUUUGGUCCCAGGUUCCUGCCCACACCAGCCCCAACAUGGUGCAUGCUGCAGGAAGGCCAAGGAGGGGGCCCUCCCAGUGUGACAAGUGCACAGGCUGUGAGGAGCAUGAGGAUGGCUGAUGCCGCUCUCUGGGAGUGGGAGAAACCUGCUUUUCUGCAUCCUAGCUUGUGACUUGUCACGUGCCCAUAAUGGGACACUCUGCCUGCCUCUCGCCAUGGCCCCCCGCUGGCCACCUCCUUAGAGUUCACAGUCCAGAAAUACGAGGAGCCCGUGGUGGGAGGGGUCCUCACUGCCUCUUUCUCCUGCUUUGUCUGCUUCCCACCCAUGAAACCCUCUCCCUAUUCACACCCAUUGACUGGCUUCUUUAAAUUAGAGGAAAUUUAAUUCCAUACAACAUGCAUGUAUCAGAUAUCUACCUUGUGUUAUGCAGUGAGCUGUGCAUUGGGGGUACAGCCAGGAAACAAAACUGUAGUAACAGCAGCAAGGUCAAGACAGUAGUGAAGUCACUGCUGAAGGCACAGCACUGGCUGGGGAGCUGGGGCCAAGCAGGUGGGCCUGGUUGCUAGAGGGUGGGUCUAGCCCCUUCCUGCUGAUCUUCCAGCAAACUGGGCUUCCGCUCCAUUCAGAGCAAAAUAAGGCAUCCGCACGUGGCUCAGUGUGGCCCUGGCCCCCGCUGGGGCACCCUCUGUGCUGUCCCUUACCCCGCAGAGGUGUGUCUGGUGGAGCUUUUCCACUUUCAAUGGCUUUCACACACCGUGGUGCUCUUGGGCCUGUUACUGGCCCAGCCAUGUCACCUACCAGCAAUGCAGCCUUGGAAAUGCGAAGUCAGCUCUCUAAGUCUUGGUUUCUUCACCUGCAGGUGGGGAUCAUCGUUCCUGUUUUGUAGCGUUGCUCUAGGAUGAAAUGAAGUCAUGAGUGUGGAGCUCUUAUGUGGUAUGGAGCUUUCCUGCCACGUGGCAAUCACUCAAUCUGGGGAAAUGGCCAUUGCUGUAGGCUGAACGUUGGUGUCCCCCCAAAUUCCUAUGUUAAAACUAAUGCCCAAAGUGGUGGUCUUAGAAGGUGGGGCCUUUCGGAAUGAUGAGGCAUGAGGCACAGCCCUCAUGGGUGGGAUGAGUGUCCUUAUGAAAGAGGCCUGAGAGAGCCCUCGUGCCCUUUCUACCACCUGAGGACACAGCGAGAAGACGGCUGCUUGUGAAUCGGGACGUGGGCCUGCACCAGACACUGAAUAUACCAGUGCCUUGAUCUCGGACUCCCCAGCCUCC